CAGGACAAUACAGCAGUGGUUCAAGCCUUUGUACCUUGGGCCAAUUCAGUAUUGAAGACAGUUCCAAAUAAUUUAAAGGAAAAAGCAAUCUAGCCUUCACAUAAGAACUUAGAUGAAGAAACCGAGGCUGAGAGAUUAAAUGACCCAUCCAGCAAUCAAGUCUUCCUGACCCCAAACCCAAUGCUCCAUCCAUUGUCUUCAAAUGUUUUAUCAAACUAUUCUCCCUUGGUGGGAUUUGAUGUUCAACCUUGGGCAAAAUUCUUGAUGGCUCCAUUUUUCCUCCUCUGGUCUUUACUUCCCAAAUCAAUAACCCCAAAACAUUGAAGUAAUGAACAUUGUGUGGCUGGGAGAGACAACAGAGGUCACCUAACCCAACUGGCCCAUCUAAUGGAAAAGGAAAUGGAGUAUCAAAGAGACCAAGUGAUUUCUCAAGGUAAGAUAAGAGAUAAAUUUCAGUGCUAGAAUUUGAGUCCUGGUUUUCUGCUUCCAAAUCCUCUCUUCUUUCCCCUAAAAGGAAUAAGGAAUUACUGUGGCCAUUUGAUGGAUUAGUAAAUUGAGACUUUGAGAUGUUCAAUGGCUUACCUAAGAUCACAAAGUUCAUUGGUGGUCAAUCUGGGAUGCUUUCCUGUACUAUGCUGAUUUAUAUGAUGUGGGAACAUCAGAUAAUUGGCUGACUCUGCUUAGCUGUUCCAGCAUUAUGGAGCUAAUAGGAGAAUAGAUUCAGAUCACAAAAGUAAUUUCUAGGCUAUCUAGCCUAUAAGCUGUCUUCUGUUCCAGUGGAAGAACUAGGACCUUGAGAUAUUAAACGACUGGCCCAAAGUCACAUAGGUAGGCUGUAGAAGGGACUUUUUUUUUAAACCUUUACCUUCCAUCUUAGAAUCAAUACUGCUUAUUGGUUCCAAGGCAGAAGGACAAUAAGGGAUAGGCAAUGGGGGGUUGCAUAGUAAGGACGUAUCUGAGGGCAGAUUUUGGACCCAGGACCUUCCUUCUCUAGGCCUGGCUCUCAAUCCACUGAGCUACCCAGCUGCCCCUAAGAAGGGGCUUUUGAAUGUAGUAUUCUUUCUAUUGGGCCACACUUUGCUUUAACAAAUUUGACCUUCAGAUCUCAAGAUCCCUUCUGCAUUGUGAUUUCACA
rnacentral:lncRNA from 1 species